GACGAACGCUGGCGGCGUGCUUAACACAUGCAAGUCGAACGGAAAGGCCCUGCUUUUGGGGUGUUCUCGAGUGGCGAACGGGUGAGUAACACGUGAGUAACCUGCCCUUGACUUUGGGAUAACUUCAGGACACUGUGGCUAAUCCCGGAUAGGCGCUCCUGCUGCAUGGUGGUGGUUGGAAAGUUUCGGCGGGUGGGGAUGGACUGGCGGCUUAUCAGCUUGUUGGUGGGGUAGUGGCUUACCAAGGCUUUGACGGGUAGCCGGCCUGAGAGGGUGACCGGCCACAUUGGGACUGAGAUACGGCCCAGACUCCUACGGGAGGAAGCAGUGGGGAAUAUUGCACAAUGGGCGGAAGCCUGAUGCAGCAACGCCGCGUGCGGGAUGACGGCCUUCGGGUUGUAAACCGCUUCCGCAUGUGCCGAAGCGUGAGUGACGGUAAUGGGUAAAGAAGCACCGGCUAACUACGUG
rnacentral:rRNA from 1 species